UUUUUAGGUCUGGAAAAAAGGCAUCAAUCGAUGAAGCCUAGGCAGAAGAGUCCAGGUAUGAGGCUUAUCAGGCUGGAUUGGCUUCUGGUUCGCCAAUAUAAAUCAGAUUGUAGGUUUUCCUUGAGGAGAAAUGGUGUCUGGUUAGGUCUGCAAGCAGGCUCCACCACCUAAACUGUACUUUUUUAAUAUAUGAAUGAAUAUAUUUUUACAUGUUUGGUGUUCUUUGGGUCUGCCAGGUUUGCAGUACUAUGUUGUUGAGGAACUUGCUUCAUACAAUGUACACUAGGUGGACAAAAUAAUGGAAACGCCAUCUGAAAAGAGAGUUUAGCUGCUUUCAAGAACAUUUCCAUUAUGGAAUUUCACUGUCUGUCUGGGUGGUACAUGUAUGUUCAUUCAGGGUUGAUUUAUAGAAGUCGUAACAGAAUCAAAGGCUGACAUCCAAUCUUUAACAGACCAAAUUGCAGAAAAGGCUAUUUUCCAUAAAUCACUAGUCAG